AGCGAACGCUGGCGGCAGGCCUAACACAUGCAAGUCGAACGGACCCUUCGGGGUUAGUGGCGGACGGGUGAGUAACACGUGGGAACGUGCCUUUUGGUUCGGAAUAGCUCCUGGAAACGGGUGGUAAUGCCGAAUGUGCCCUUUGGGGGAAGGAUUUAUCGCCAUUAGAGCGGCCCGCGUCUGAUUAACUAGUUGGUGAGGUAAAGGCUCACCAAGGCGACGAUCAGUAGCUGGUCUGAGAGGAUGACCAGCCACAUUGGGACUGAGACACGGCCCAAACUCCUACGGGAGGCAGCAGUGGGGAAUCUUGCGCAAUGGGCGAAAGCCUGACGCAGCCAUGCCGCGUGAAUGAUGAAAGUCUUAGGAUUGUAAAAUUCUUUCACCGGGGACGAUAAUGACGGUACCCGGAGAAGAAGCCCCGGCUAACUUCGUGCCAGCCGCCGCAGUAAGAC
rnacentral:rRNA from 1 species